AUCACUUCUCGGCCUUUUGGCUAAGAUCAAGUGUGGUAUCCGU
rnacentral:snRNA from 1 species